rnacentral:antisense_RNA from 1 species
GCGCUGGGCCAGUGCAGGCCGAGCCCUGGCGUCUCUGCCUCGCUGGGUGGGGGUCCGGGGUGCGGCUGUCCAGAGGGCUGCCCCUCCCGCGGCCCGCGGGGAACGGGCGCAUCCCACCCUGCUCUGCAGGCCGCCCUUCUGCCAGCUGGGAGGCGAGGGCACACGUCCUAAGGCUGCCCAAGGGGGAGAGGAAUCGCGCCGGUAGGAGAGCGCACGGGAACCAGGAACGCAAGGCCGGCACAGGGGAGCCGAAGGAGCCAGACAGGGCCCGGCCACGCGCCCUCGUCGCUCGGCUGCGCUCCGUGACAGGAACCCAGGCUCCCACGCACGGGGAAUGCCUAGAACGGAGCUGGAAUGGAGGAAAACCAGUUUGGCUAUUAAGGGAACCUGUAGACACAGAGCAGAGCAAGAUAAGGCCAGGUUUCAGAAAGAAUAGCUGUUUACCAUCAAAGCAACUGG